UCUCGAAUGGUGUAGUGGUAAACACACUGCCACUGUACGGCAGAGCCGGGCGUUCGACCCGUCCUUGGGGGC